UUAAACUAUGAAUUGCUGCGCAGAGCAUACACAGAGUACAAUUGGAAACUAUAAACCAUGAUAUUUUGUCAAAGUGCGCUACAACAAUUUGACAAUUUUUUUGGGUAUAAGUACCUAUGCUAUAUAAUGGUUUGCGUUGGCUGACUACAACAAAAUACCUACAUCUUUUCUUUGCCUACCAAGCUUCAAAUGGCUUUAUACCUACAAUGCACGGAGUGCGGCUGCUUUGCAAGGCUUGGAGGUUGUGCUCGUUUGGGACAGCUUUACCUUCUGGCUUAUCGUGAUAAACAUAAAGGCACGUAUCGGAGGGGGUAAGUUGUUCCAGCACUUACUAGCAGCAUACUUGAAGGAACCACGGAAUGCUGCUGUUUUGAAGCUUGGCGUCACCAGCAUAUACGAAGAAGCACGCGUGUUAUGCCUGUUGUGAGUACUAGACCAGUCUAAUUUAGUAUAGAGGUAGUCAGGAGAACGUGUUUUAAUAAUUUUAAAUAAUAGGGUUGCAAAAUGAAGUUGUCUUCUGGCCUGUAAUUUUAACAAAUUUGAAUUAUUGAGGUAAGGGGUAACAUGCGCGCGCGGAGCUAUGUUGAAGCAAAAACGAGCGCAUGCAUUUUGCACCCUUUGAAUAAGUUUCUGCGUUCGCGCCAGUAGACAUGGGCCGUAUACUGUGUCUGCAUAGUUAAGUUUAGAAAGAAUUAAUGUUUCGCAAACUUUUAUUCUUAGGUCUGUGUUAAGGUAAGGACGAAUAUUGUAAAGUAUUUUGAUCUUAUAAAAACAAUUUCUUAUAAUGUCUAACAGAUGCGACUCAAAACGAAGAUGUUGAUCAAACUUCACUCCUAAAUUGCGUGCUUCUCGCACACGCUCUAUACUGUUUCCUUUAAUUCUUAUAUCUGGCUGUAGGUUUUCAAUAUUUUCAAUCUGUUUUUUACUUCCUAUUAUCAUAAAUUUUGACUUCACGGGGUUCAGAACCAAAGAGUUCCGUGACGACCAGUCCGCUACGCGGUCUAAAUCAUCAUUUA